GGUGGCGUCAGGAUGGUCAUGGAAUGCCCGGGAGGGUAGGGGUGGGCUCUGUGGCUAAUGGGGUGAAGGCCUGUGGGGGACAUUCCAGGCAGAGGGAGGAGUGACCACCAAGGCCCAGAGGUUCCCGAAGUUCAUUGUCCUCUUCAUCUGACGUAAGAGCUGCAGAGCAGACAUGGAUAUGGAUGCAUCUGGGAGUGUGUCACAUGGAAACCACACACUUAGCAGAGGUUCAGGAUCUGAGUUCUCAAGAUUGAGAAGACUUUAAUGUGUACUUAUCAACACUGGGUGUCCAGUGGAGCUGGUCCUCAGCUCCCUCCCAUCUGCAUAGUCGCAGGAGUCGUAUCCUCACUUGCCGUGCCAGGCAAUGUUCUGGUGCCCAAGACCAGUGUUGAGGGUGAUGGCAUGGAAAAAUGGGAAGACCAUGAGCACAGAGCAGAUGGCCUAUCUCUGUGAGCUGUUGCUGGUGUGGACUUAGCUACCCUCUGAAUCUGAGUUAUGCAGGCUCUGCCAAGGCCCAGUCUGCCCUGUCCGUGACUGCAGCCCCACCAAUGACCAGGUGUGGUCCCCACAGAGGCCCUUGUAGGUAAAGAAUCAGUUAUUCAAAUCUAUUGAUAAAAACAUCUAUUGAUCAGACUCUAGAUAAUUCUGAAUUUUAAUUCAACAACUUUCAUAGAACAAUGGGCAAAAUAUCUGCCACCGGAAAGAGAGCAACAGAGAUCUAAGGCUUUGGGACAGGCCAUUUCUUCUACCUGGAACACUUUUCUAUCUCUCUCUUCACCUGGGUACAUUUUCAGUAUAGACAUCACUUUCCCGGCCAGCUCGUUCCAAGGUUUGCCUGGGGUAUCUAAUGUUUUGCAAAUUACAUAAUAACACCAGCACCACCCUUUCAUGAAGAUGGCGCGAAAGUCAAAGAAGGAAGCUCCUGCCUCUCCCAGAGCCGAAGCCAAAGCAAAGGCUUUGAAAACAAGAAGGAGGUGCUGAAAGGCAUCCAAAGUCACACUAAGAAGAUCUGCACAUCACCUACAUUCCAACGAUCUAAGACCCUGUGUCUCCGAAGCCAGCCCGAAUACCCUGGAAAGAGCAUCCUUAGGAGAAUCAAGCUUGACCACUAUGCCAUCAAGAGCCUCCAGACUACUGAGUCAGCCAAGAAGAAGAUAGAAGACACCACACUUAUGCUCAUUGCGGAUGUCAAGGCCAAUAAGCACCAGAUCAGACAGACUGUGAAGAAACUCUACGAUAUUGAUUGGCCAAGGUCAACAGCUUGAUCAGGCCUGAUAGAGAGAAGGCCUGUAUUCGACUGACCAUGAGGCUUUGGAUGCCAAAAAAAUUAGGAUCAUUUAAACUGAGUCCAGUUGGCUAAAUAUAAAUAUAAUUUUUUUUUAUAAAAACCCCCACCAACACCAACUAUAGAAUUCACAAAUUUAUCUUAUUGUUAUCUUAUUGUCCUAAUAAACCUAGGAAGGUGG